rnacentral:lncRNA from 1 species
CUGCGACUGCUCCCUAUCUAUUUUAUCUAUCUAAACAAUCCUCACCAACCAUUUUUCCAUCCAAAGCCCACCAAAAGUACAAUCCUGUUGGUUAUAUUCAUCUCUCAUUCUUGAAAUUUCAGCAUGUCAAAAUGCAGAUAUGGAUGGCGUCAAUAUUGGUGAGAGGCCAUGGCUUUGAAUUUUCUUUCCCCAACUGAAAUCAUGUUUCCCUUUUUUCUUGGACACUUCUAAAUCUUCUUACAACCUUAAUCUCCCCAAAAACCAAGGUAAAUCCCACCCCCACAAAUCUCUUUCUUUAUGACAAUUUCGGUCUCGAUUAGUUCACAAGAUUAAAUGGCCAAUUCUCCUUCGGACACUUGGGUUGGGCAAAGCAGGAUGUUUAAGCUGCUUCGGGCGCUAGCUUAAGGAGAGGGCUUUCUUUAAGUUAAGGCAUUCGGGAGUUAGCAAAGUUCUCUAGGAAGUCAGCCAUUGUUGUCUUUAUUUGAAUUGUUAAUUAUACUCAUGUUAGAGUUUAUUAUUUUGUGUUGUGGAUGUGAUUUUAAAGAAGUGUAGUCCUGUGAACUGCGUUGAUAUAUAAUGGGGGAUUGAUAUGAAGGUAGUGGGUAAUUUCUAUUUUUAUUUUGGUUAAUGAAAAUAUAAAUAUAGGGAUUAGUAUAAUUAUAAGCUUAUUCCCCGUGAAAGCAGAAAUAGUAGCAACACUUUUUUACUUUGGCUAAAAUAAG